AGAGUUUGAUCAUGGCUCAGGAUAAACGCUGGCGGCGUGCUUUAGGUAUGCAAGUCGAUCGAAUUAGGUAGCAAUACCUAGUUAGAGGCGGACGGGUGAGUAAUGUAUAGGAAUCUACCCAAGAGCCUCGGAUAACCUGUCGAAAGACGGGCUAAUAUGAGAUAGUUCUCGCAAGAGUAAAGAGCGUAACUGCUCGCUUCUGGAGGAGCCUAUAUUCUAUCAGCUUGUCGGUGAGGUAAAAGCUCACCAAGGCUAUGACGGAUAGCUGGUCUGAGAGGAUGGUCAGCCACAGGGGAACUGAGACACGGUCUCCACACCUACGGGUGGCAGCAACCAGGAAUAUUGGGCAAUGGGGGAAACCCUGACCCAGCGACGCCGCGUGGAGGAUGACGGCCUUCGGGUUGUAAACUCCUUUUGCCAAGCCCUUCACAGCUUGGAGAAUAAGCCCUUACUAACUACGUGCCAGAAGUCUCGGUAAUACGUAGGGGGCAAGCGUUAUCCGGAUUUAUUGGGCGUAAAGCGUGUGUAGGUGGUUUUUCAAGUCACCAUUUAAAUCCUAUGGCUUAACCAUAGAACUGGUGGUGAUACUGGAUUACUAGAAGAUCGUUCGGGAUACUGGAACAGUUGGUGUAGUGGUGAAAUACGUUGAUAUCAACUGGAACACCGAAGGCGAAGGCAAGUAUCUGGAAUUUUCUUGACACUGAGACACGAAAGCUAGAGGAGCGAAACAGAUUAGAGACCUGUGUAGUCCUAGCCGUAAACGAUGGAUGCUAGAUACUGGUGUAAGCCAGUGUCGUAAGCUAACGCGUUAAGCAUCCCGCCUGGGGAGUACGGCCGCAAGGCUAAAACUCAAAGGAAUUGACGG
rnacentral:rRNA from 1 species